rnacentral:rRNA from 1 species
UACGUAGGGGGCGAGCGUUGUCCGGAGUACUGGGCGUAAAGCGCACGCAGGCGGUCUGUUAAGUUUGGGAGUGACAGUUGGUAGGCCUUAACUGCCAAAGUGGCUUCGAAAACUGACAGACAUUGAGGGCUUCAGAGGGACACGGAAUUCCGGGUGGGAGUGGUGAAAUGCGUAGAGAUCCGGAGGACACCAAAGGCGAAGGCAGUGAUCCUGGGGAGUACC